AACAUGUCUUUUUGAAAUUAAUUUAAAGUCUAAUCUGCUCAAUGAAUAAUUAAAUAGCUGCAGUAUUUUGACUGUACUAAGGUAGCAUAAUCAAUUGUUUUUUAAUUAAAAGCUUGUAUGAAAGAUUUAAUGAAAUAAAUAUUGUCUCAUAUUUAAUUAAUUUAAAAUUUUUUUUUUAGUAAAAAUACUAAAUUAUUUUUAAAAGACGAGAAGACCCUAUAGAUUUUUAUAUUAAAUUUAAAAUUAUAUAAUUUUAAGUUUAAUAUUUGAUUGGGGAAAUUAUUAAAUUUUAUUAAUUUUAAUUUUAUAUAAAACAAUAAUUAUUGAUUUAUUGAUUAUAAUUAUAUAAUAGGAGAAUAAAAUACCUUAGGGAUAACAGCAUAAUUUAUUUAAGAAGAUCUUAUUUUUAAAAAAGUUUGUGACCUCGAUGUUGAAUUAAAAUAAAAAUUUAAUGAAAAAAUUAAAAAUUUUGGUUUGUUCAACCAUUAAAAUUUUACGUGAU
rnacentral:rRNA from 1 species